UACAUUCUCCUUCGCUUAAGGACCCUCAUCGCUCGAGCUUUAACAGCUUCUUGAGCUGGAUCAGGUCGAGUCUUGUUAAUCUGCUCCUUGUAUCUAGCUAAUUCAGCAUCAAGUUUCUUGAUUUUCUCAUCCACUGUGACACCCCUUAUAUUAAUCAGAAAACAAAAACAACCAUAUUAUUAGUGACACAAUGAAGCACAAGAAACAACAUGUCCCAAGUCUCCAUUCAGCAUGAACUAGAUAUAUAGCAGGCUACAGUUGAUUAAGUUCAUAUUCAAGGACUUCCAGAACGAAAAGUAAGAUUUAGUUCUAACUAUAAUGCUGGAUUAUGAAGGAUGUGUAAAAUAAGUAUAAAAAGAACAAGUAGUUACAUGUUACCAUUCAAAUUAUCACACCUGCGACACCUUUGUUUCCGAUUGUGAUGAUUGGGUGGGGACAACAUGGAAGAGGGGACGAAUCGAAAUGGGUAUGCAUCAAACAGAAGAACAUCGACUUACGAUCAUGAAGGUCACGGAAUUUAGCAGAAGAUCUUAUAAUAUCACAAGCGGCGUCACAAAGAAAUCGGUAAAGCAGAGUUCUUUCAAGAGCCGGAAGAAGAGGAAGGGUUAAAAAGAGGUCGGACCUUGUCGGUCGCGUCCUGGAUCGUCGGCGGCGGCUCCUUAUUCUUCUUGGCGCCGAAGACCCGUUUCAUCUCUAAGCGAUCCCAACCUACGGGAGAGCCUUGUGCCGUUGCAGCGACGGCAAUUCGGGUGAGGGCUUUGAUGUUUCGGAUCCUCUCCAAUUCAUGCGGAUCCGUUCACUCCUUCAACCGCCAUAUCUCCGUCCUUCAUUCCCCUGUUCUCACAUCUCAGCCGUUCGUUUUCGUGAUCAAAUCCAUCGGUUUGGAGGUUGGAGAGGAUCCGAAUCCGUACCGAUCGAUG
rnacentral:lncRNA from 1 species